GACGGCUGAGAUCAAAAGGCAAAAGGGUAUAAAUAGAACCCCCACACCUGACCAAAAAAACCCUAGCCGCCUGCCCUCGCCGGAGAAGACGAACCAGACGCCGGAGACGCCGGCCACCGCCACCCGCCGCCGCACCGGGGAGAUUUCCGACCUCCGAUCGAGGUAAAUUUCAUACCCCCGACUCAUUUUUCCACGCUGAUUUUCCCUGUGGCCAAAUCGGAGCCAAAAUUCUGGUCAAACGGCCGGAAAACACGACCGAAACCCAGCGGCGCCGCCGCGCCCCUCCUCGAUUUUUGCCUCCGAUGAGGCCCUUCCCGGCCUCCGUUUGAUGCAAUUUUUAUAUCACCGUGAUCACCAUUCUUUUCUCUACAGGUUGAUCGGAGCCGAAUCACCAAAACACGAACCUCACCAGAGAGCCGCCGCA
rnacentral:lncRNA from 1 species